AUUGAACGCUGGCGGCAUGCCUUACACAUGCAAGUCGAACGGUAACAGGUUAAGCUGACGAGUGGCGAACGGGUGAGUAAUGUAUCGGAACGCGCCCAGUCGUGGGGGACAACUGCUCGAAAGAGCAGCUAAUACCGCAUACGACCUGAGGGUGAAAGCGGGGGAUCGCAAGACCUCGCGCGAUUGGAGCGGCCGAUAUCAGAUUAGGUAGUUGGUGAGGUAAAGGCUCACCAAGCCGACGAUCUGUAGCUGGUCUGAGAGGACGACCAGCCACACUGGGACUGAGACACGGCCCAGACUCCUACGGGAGGCAGCAGUGGGGAAUUUGGACAAUGGGCGCAAGCCUGAUCCAGCCAUGCCGCGUGCGGGAAGAAGGCCUUCGGGUUGUAAACCGCUUUUGUCAGGGAAGAAAAGGUUCUGGCUAAUACCUGGGACUCAUGACGGUACCUGAAGAAUAAGCACCGGCUAACUACGUGCCAGCCGCCGCCGUAAUAC
rnacentral:rRNA from 1 species